GAUGAACGCUGGCGGCGUGCCUAAUACAUGCAAGUCGAGCGAACAGACGAGGAGCUUGCUCCUCUGACGUUAGCGGCGGACGGGUGAGUAACACGUGGAUAACCUACCUAUAAGACUGGGAUAACUUCGGGAAACCGGAGCUAAUACCGGAUAAUAUAUUGAACCGCAUGGUUCAAUAGUGAAAGACGGUUUUGCUGUCACUUAUAGAUGGAUCCGCGCCGCAUUAGCUAGUUGGUAAGGUAACGGCUUACCAAGGCGACGAUGCGUAGCCGACCUGAGAGGGUGAUCGGCCACACUGGAACUGAGACACGGUCCAGACUCCUACGGGAGGCAGCAGUAGGGAAUCUUCCGCAAUGGGCGAAAGCCUGACGGAGCAACGCCGCGUGAGUGAUGAAGGUCUUCGGAUCGUAAAACUCUGUUAUUAGGGAAGAACAAAUGUGUAAGUAACUAUGCACGUCUUGACGGUACCUAAUCAGAAAGCCACGGCUCACUACGUG
rnacentral:rRNA from 1 species